UACGGAGGGUGCAAGCGUUGUCCGGAAUUAUUGGGCGUAAAGAGCUUGUAGGCGGUUUGUCGCGUCUGCUGUGAAAUUUCGGGGCUCAACCCCGAACUUGCAGUGGGUACGGGCAGACUAGAGUGUGGUAGGGGAGACUGGAAUUCCUGGUGUAGCGGUGAAAUGCGCAGAUAUCAGGAGGAACACCGAUGGCGAAGGCAGGUCGCUGGGCCAGAACUGACGCUGAGAAGCGAAAGCAUGGGGAGCGAACAGG
rnacentral:rRNA from 1 species